AGAGUUUGAUCCUGGCUCAGAGCGAACGCUGGCGGCAUGCCUAACACAUGCAAGUCGCGCGGUCAGCAAUGGCAGCGGCGGACGGGUGCGUAACGCGUAGGAACGUGUCUUGAGGUGGGGGACAACCCUGGGAAACUGGGGCUAAUACCGCAUAUGGGCUGAGGCCCAAAGCCGUGAGGCGCCUUUGGAGCGGCCUGCGUCCGAUUAGCUUGUUGGUGGGGUAAUGGCCUACCAAGGCUCCGAUCGGUAGCUGGUCUGGGAGGACGAUCAGCCACACUGGGACUGAGACACGGCCCAGACUCCUACGGGAGGCAGCAGUGGGGAAUAUUGGACAAUGGGCGCAAGCCUGAUCCAGCAAUGCCGCGUGGGUGAAGAAGGUCUUCGGAUCGUAAAGCCCUUUCGACAGGGACGAUGAUGACGGUACCUGUAGAAGAAGCCCCGGCUAACUUCGUGCCAGCAGCCGCGGUAAUACGAAGGGGGCUAGCGUUGCUCGGAAUUACUGGGCGUAAAGGGCGCGUAGGCGGCUUAGUCAGUCAGGCGUGAAAUUCCUGGGCUUAACCUGGGGGCUGCGUUUGAGACGGCUAUGCUAGAGGGUAGGAGAGGGUCGUGGAAUUCCCAGUGUAGAGGUGAAAUUCGUAGAUAUUGGGAAGAACACCGGUGGCGAAGGCGGCGACCUGGCCUAUUACUGACGCUGA
rnacentral:rRNA from 2 species